rnacentral:rRNA from 1 species
UACCUGCAGCUCAAGUGGUGACCGCUAUUAUUGGGCCUAAAACGUUCGUAGCCGGUUUGGUAAAUGCCUGGGUAAAUCGUGUAGCUUAACUAUACGAAUUCCGGGUAGACUGCUAAACUUGAGACCGGGAGAAGCUAGAGGUACUCCUGGGGUAGAGGUGAAAUUCUGUAAUCCUGGGGGGGACCACCAGUGGCGAAGGCGUCUAGCUAGAACGGGUCUGACGGUGAGGAACGAAGCCCUGGGGCGCAAACCGGAUUAGAUACCCGGGUAGUCCAGGGUGUAAACGCUGCUUGCUUGAUGUUAGUUGGGCUCCGAGCCCAAUUAGUGUCGGAGAGAAGUUGUUAAGCAAGCUGCUUAGGGAAAGUACGAUCGACAAGAUUAGAAACUUAAAGGAAUUGGGCGGGGGAGCACAGCAACGGGGUGGAGCGUGCGGUUU